rnacentral:rRNA from 1 species
CCUACGGGAGGCAGCAGUGAGGAAUAUUGGUCAAUGGCCGGAAGGCUAAACCAGCCAAGCCGCGUGAAGGACGAAGGUGCCAAGCAUUGUAAACUUCUUUUGUCAAGGGACAAAAUCAGGCUCGAGAGCCUGACCGAGGGUACUUGAAGAAAAAGCAUCGGCUAACUCCGUGCCAGCAGCCGCGGUAAUACGGAGGAUGCGAGCGUUAUCCGGAUUUAUUGGGUUUAAAGGGUGCGUAGGCGGACUGUUAAGUCAGCGGUAAAAGCCCGGGGCUCAACCCCGGCGAGCCGUUGAAACUGGCUGUCUUGAGAUGUCGAGAGGUAUGCGGAAUGCGCAGUGUAGCGGUGAAAUGCUUAGAUAUUGCGCAGAACUCCGAUUGCGAAGGCAGCAUACCGACGGCGAUCUGACGCUGAGGCACGAAAGCGUGGGUAUCGAACAGGAUUAGAUACCCCUGUAGUC